ACAAAUGACCUCGCACCUUGCCUUUGUGAUAGUAAUCUCUGCCAGUCCUGAACUGUUAAUACAGACCAGACACUUCACCUUUCCUUCUCUCUGGUCCUCCAGAUCACGCUAUGAAGUGUUAUCCACGGCAGCCAUAUGGUCUAGAAACAGAGGUUCCUGAGACAGAUGGUGGGUAGGGUGGCAGAAGAGAACUGAGGACUUCUGAUGCAGGGGUGCAGAACGGCCUCUUCCCUAACCUAAGAAGUGCACGCUCCGGUGGAGACACAAACACAACAAAGAUACCUGAGAGACACAAUCCAGCAGGGGGCCAGGGCAGCGGUCCGGGAGGCUUCCUGGAGGACAGCAUGUCAAGCAAAAGGGAGGCAAUA